UGCCAGCAGCCGCGGUAAUACGAAGGGGGCUAGCGUUGUUCGGAAUUACUGGGCGUAAAGCGCACGUAGGCGGGAAAUUAAGUCAGCUGUGAAAUCCCUGGGCUUAACCCAGGACGUGCAGUUGAAACUGGUUUUCUUGAGUGUCAGAGGGGGAUGUGGAAUUCCAUGUGUAGGAGUGAAAUCCGUAGAUAUAUGGAGGAACACCGGUGGCGAAGGCGGCAUCCUGGCUGGACACUGACGUUGAGGCGCGAAAGCGUGGGUAGCAAACAGGAUUAGAUA
rnacentral:rRNA from 1 species